ACUGUGGCUGAAGGAACCUGCAGCCCUGGGAGGGACCCAUGCUGGAGCUGUUGUUGAAGAACUGCAGGCUAUGGGAAGGACUCACAUUGGAGAAGUUCAUGAAGGACUGUAUCCCGUGGGAGGGACCUCAUGCUGGAGCAGGAGAACAGAAUGAGGAGGAAAGAGUAGCAGAGACAAAGUGUUAUGAACCAACCACAA